UAAAAUCACAGACCAAAAUAAAUCUGUAGGUAAAUACCGACUAUUCACUGACUAAUAAACGAUUAAAUGAAAUUAUUAAAUACUAAUUAUUUAUAGCGAAUCAAUUACCGACUAUAUACCUAGAAUCUUUUACCGACUAAAAUCAUUUAGUCGCUAAUUAUGGCAUUAAGUUGGCCCGCAAAUUAUAGCUACUAAUGUGGGCGCUUUACCGACCAAACUUUAGUCGGUACCUUAUUGGGAAAAAAUAAAUAAUAUAUAAAUAAUUUAGUAGCGACUAUCUGAAACUUAGUUGGUAAUAUGAA
rnacentral:misc_RNA from 1 species